rnacentral:lncRNA from 1 species
UUUUCACACUUAAGUAUACACUCAAAGGACACCUAUGCUCACCUAUGCUCAUUGUAGAUUUAUUCAUUGUAGCCAGAAACUUGCAAUAACCUACAUGUCCUGAAACUGAAGAAUGUAAAAAGAAAAUAUGGUAUAUUUCACAAUGGUGUAUUACUCUGCUGUUAAAAAAAAUGACAUCAUGAAAUUUGCAGGCUAAUGGAAAAAUAAAACAAAACCAACUAACCAACCAAACAAGAACACCAUGAGUGAGUUAACCCAGACCCAGAAAGGCAAAUAUGUUUGGUGCCUUGUCAAGUUGUCAUUAGAAAGACUACCACUGGAAGAAGAUUGGAAUGGAUGCACAGAUCUAUAGACAAGCAUCAUGUGAAGAAAGUCUAAAUUGGAGGUCUCCAUUGGGUCUUCUCCCUCAGAUUGGGGAAUCUCACAAAAGAGAAGAAACAAUUAUGAGAAUAAGAGGGGGUGAAGGCAAACAUGGCCUACUGAAUCAAACAGAGCUCCCAUGGGCUUGCUCAGAGUGAAACAGCAAGGACAGGGUCUGCAUGGGUUUGGAACAAGUCAUCUAUGUACAUAUUAUGGCUGUUAGCUUGGUGUUUUGUGAGUCUUCUAACAGUAGGAGUGGGUGUAUCUCUGACUUCUCUUGGGACCCUUUUCCUUAGAUUGUGAUCUCUUCUCCAGCCUUGUUAUGAGACUUUUUUGCCUUGUCUUACCAUACCAUGUUUUGUCCUGCUUGGAUGUCAUUUCUUAGAGGUCUGCUCUUUUCUGAAGAGGAAGAGAUAUAGAUCUGGGGGAGAUGGAAGGUAUGGAGAAGUUGGAAGGAAUGGACCAAAGGGAACUUGUUGUUGAGAUAUAUUGUAUGAGAGAAGAAUGCAUUUUCAAUAAAAGAAAAAAUAAAAAGGGAAGAAAAUGCAUGCAUAUCUCAUACUAGAUGAACUCCCUUGUUCUUCACUUACUAAUUCUACAUAGCUUCAUUCAUCACACAUAUUGUAGUCAUUGCUGGAAUCCCAGGGGGCAAGUUUUUAUUAUGGAUAAUGCCAUGAGGUAGGAUCAAAGAUAAUUUGAUCUGAACACAAUUCAUGACAAAUUGAUUUUAGAAACAUCUGUUAGCACUUUAAAAAAUAGACAAUCAAGACUAAAAGAAAAAUCAAACUGUGGAAUAAGUGUCUAUGGAGUGUUCAGCUAUAAAUGGGAUUGCUAUAUCACAUAUCCUUUUCCUAAGGUUUAGGAGACUUUAUGAAAGAGGGUGUGAAAAAAUUGUGGGAGCCAUAUAUUAGAAAAUAUUAGGGCCAAAAUGAUUCUUCUGUACAUGACAGACUGCUGCACUCAUGAAGUAAAAAUAGGUAUGGUGCCUGUACAAGAUUUGUACAAAAUUAUGCCAGUCACCAUUCUAGCCUAAAAUGGGGAAAGGGCUCAAGAAUUCCCAACUCCUAGAUGAGAAGUUAUUAAAGGUUGAUGACUGCUAGGAGAGAAAGUGUCAGUUUUCUUUGUGGUUGUAGCCCUUGGUAUAUUGACCAUGCUCUGCUCAGUGGCCCCACAGAAUGAUGUCUAUUCUGUCUAGUGUUGUGGAAAUAUUUAAUCUCAAUCAGGAGGUUCUACCCCGUUUUUGAUUACUUAAUUACCAUAUAAAAGAAAUGUGACCUUUAAUUUGCAUUAAGCCUUUAUUAGCACUAGAGAUGGGCAGAUAUAUAACCUUUAUGCUAUUAGAAUCUUCUUUCCUAUUGAUAUACCUGAGUUAUUAUUCAUUAUGUUCCAUCUGGGCUGUUCUUAACUCCAAUAGGCCAAUCCUUAUGGUCAUAAUUUGAAGAUUCUUAUUCCAUGGUGACUUCUUCUCUCCUCGUCUUCCUCUCACUUCUCAUAUUCUCCUUAGAUCCCAAGUCUGGGAACCUCAAACCCCACCUAUGUUAAACCCAACUACUGGCUGUUGGCAUCUUUAUUUAACCAAUAGUUUUAAAUCAAGGACCAAGGUCAUAUUGUCUGUGUGGAUUCACUCAUUCCUGGGAGCAACCAGGCCUUGGGGGCCAGUAAUUGAUAUGUUUGUAAAAAAAUAAAGAGGGGAGGGAUAUGUUAUAUUGAGGUUUGUUGAGGUGUGGGAGCAGGGAGUGCCUUGGCAGGCCCAUGCUGAGACAUCCCAUCCCCUUGAGGGACCAUCUUCAGAAUGGUAUAGUAUAGAAUAGAGUUUAUUCAGGGCAUGGGGAGAACAGUCAAGAGGGUAGUAGAGGCAGAGAAAGGGAGAGAGGGAGGGAGGGAGAGAGAGAGAGAGAGAGAGAGAGAGAGAGAGAGAGAGAGAGAGAGAGAGAGAGAGAGGGAGGAAUGGGGAGAGAAUGGGAGCAGAAAGGCAAGAAGGCAAGAGCAGGAGCAAGAGAGAGAGAGAGACAGAGGAAGGGGCUAGCAGCCCCCUUUAUAGUAAGUCAGGCAUACCUGGCUGUUGCCAAGUAACUCUGGGGUGGAGCUUAGACAAAAUGCUAACAGUACUUAUCAUUACAAUACAUAUCAAAAGAUCAAACCUCAAUAGUCUAGCAUCUCUUCCCUAAUAUACCAAGAGGACCUUACUUACUUAAUAUACCAAGAGGACCUUAGUUAGACUCCAGAACACUUACUUAGACUCCAGAACACAUCUACGUCCAUUGUUUUCUCAGAUCCCAAAGUUAGUUAUUAUCCUUGUGGCCUUUCAUACUGCUCAGUAGAAGGAAAUCACUGUUAAACACACUGAGGUAUAUAAGAAAGUACAUGAAAUUGGGAACAUAAUGUUGAGGUGGAGUAGUUGGAAGAG